UACGGGGGGGGUAAGCGUUGUUCGGAAUUACUGGGCGUAAAGGGCUCGUAGGCGGCCAACUAAGUCAGACGUGAAAUCCCUCAGCUUAACUGGGGAACUGCGUCUGAUACUGGAUGGCUUGGAUUUGGGAGAGGGAUGCGGAAUUCCAGGUGUAGCGGUGAAAUGCGUAGAUAUCUGGAGGAACAUCAGUGGCGAAGGCGAAUCUCUGGCUUAUUUCUGACGCUGAGACGCGAAAGCGUGGGGAGCAAACAGG
rnacentral:rRNA from 1 species